UACGGGGGGAGCAAGCGUUGUUCGGAUUUACUGGGCGUAAAGGGCGCGUAGGCGGCGUGACAAGUCACUUGUGAAAUCUCCGGGCUUAACUCGGAACGGUCAAGUGAUACUGUCGUGCUAGAGUACAGAAGGGGCAACUGGAAUUCUCGGUGUAGCGGUGGAAUGCGCAGAUAUCAGGUGGAACACCGAUGGCGAAGGCAGUUCUCUGGGCCGUAACUGACGCUGAGGAGCGAAAGCGUGGGGAGCGAACAGG
rnacentral:rRNA from 1 species